AGAUCACGUUAACGGCGUUGACCCCUUAAUGAGCCCCUUGGAGAAGAAAGGUUACAAUGAAGAGGAAAGUGAGGAGGCGAAACGUUUGUCGAUUGAUUCACAAGGUUCCCUGAUAAAUAAUGAUAAUCAGGACGUUUCGUCAAAACAAUUGAAAAACAGUUUGAAUGAACCAGAUACAACAGAUAUGACAAUGCCUCUGAGAGCUCGACUGCUCACGAUUUACUUACUAACACGCAGGAAACAUGAACUGACCGAACUUUCAGUACUAUCUGCCUGGAUAUUACUAUACUUAGGACACAACUCCAUGGAUAACUGGUAAGUCUUAAAAAUUCUCUGACGAAUGGUUUUAACGGACCAUCUGUGAGUACACAAUGCCGAUUUUGUGAGGCUUAUGUGAUUAACAUGUGAAUGGUGAUAGAUAGCAACAUUUGCAAAGAACGAUUGAUUUGAGUGAAUACAGGUACUGAGAGUGAAUGUAAGUACAGAGAGAGGGAAAACAGGUACAGAGAGAGUGAACACAGGUACAGAGAGAGUGAACACAGGUACAGAGAGAGUGCACGAAGGUACAGAGUGAACACAGGUACAGAGAAAGUUCACGUAGGUACAGAGUGAACACAGGUACAGAGAGAGAGUGAACACUGGUACAGAGUGAGGGAACACAGGUACAGAGAGAGAACACAGGUACAGAGGGAGUGAACACUGGUGCAGAGGGAGCGAACACAGGUACAGAGAGAGUGAACACAUGUACAGGCAGGGUGAACACAUGUACAGACAGGGUGAACACAGGUACAGACAGGGUGAACACAGGUACAAACAGGGUGAACACAG